GCUUCGAUAGCUCAGUGGUAGAGCGAGAGAUUGCAGUUACAAAACGACCAACAUCUCUAGGUCACGUGUUCGAACCACGUUCGGAGCU
rfam:Cladophialophora psammophila CBS 110553 aczJe-supercont1.8, whole genome shotgun sequence.